rfam:Clostridium sp. D5 genomic scaffold supercont1.1, whole genome shotgun sequence.
GCAUCAGUAAUGAUGUGGAUGAAGGAAGCGCAUAGCAAAGUUCACGAGCCUACGAACAGAAACUUGAUAAGGCGAUGAGGUGGGUAAGGUUGCACAUCAAACCAAAGCCCGAAAGGUAAACGUAUAACCGAAGUUGUAAAUCAAGAGGUUGUGGAAUGAAAGAUUAGUGC